GAAAUGCGAUACUUGGUGUGAAUUGCAGAAUUCAGUGAAUCAUCGAAUCUUUGAACGCACAUUGCGCCCUUUGGUAUUCCUUAGGGCAUGCCUGUUCGAGCGUCAUUUAAACCCUCAAGCCCUGCUUGGUGUUGGGUGCCUGUCCCGCCCCCGCGCGUGGACUCACCUCAAAUCCAUUGGCGGCCCCCGCACGGCCACGAGCGCAGCAGAAACGCAAACUCGUGCGCAGAGCGGGCGGCUCCCAGAAGCUACACCCACCAUUUUUGACCUCGGAUCAGGUAGGGAUACCCGCUGAACUUAA
rnacentral:misc_RNA from 1 species